rnacentral:rRNA from 1 species
GACGAACGCUGGCGGCGUGCUUAACACAUGCAAGUCGAGCGGAAAGGCCCUUCGGGGUCCUCGAGCGGCGAACGGGUGAGUAACACGUGAGUAACCUGCCCCAGACUUUGGGAUAACCCUCGGAAACGGGGGCUAAUACCGGAUACGACACAGCUUCGCAUGGGGUCUGUGUGGAAAGUUUUUCGGUUUGGGAUGGGCUCGCGGCCUAUCAGCUUGUUGGUGGGGUGAUGGCCUACCAAGACGACGACGGGUAGCCGGCCUGAGAGGGCGACCGGCCACACUGGGACUGAGACACGGCCCAGACUCCUACGGGAGGCAGCAGUGGGGAAUAUUGCACAAUGGGCGGAAGCCUGAUGCAGCGACGCCGCGUGAGGGAUGACGGCCUUCGGGUUGUAAACCUCUUUCAGCAGGGACGAAGCGUAAGUGACGGUACCUGCAGAAGAAGCGCCGGCCAACUACGUG